ensembl:lncRNA
AUCUCCUUUGGGAUUUACUUUGCAAUCAGCUUUGAAGCCACAGUGAAUGUGGCAAAGGGAAGUCCCAACGGUCCAAACAGGAAGUCAUCGUCAACACCUGGCAUUACAAAUUCUGACCCUCCCCUAAUUCAUCCGAGAUCACACUGCCAAAAGCGUCCAGGCCGUGUCCACAGUCACCAGCCGAGAGUCUGACACAAACCACCAACCCCCCUCCAGCCCCUGUCUCCACCCAUCACACCCUCCAAUUUCAGGACUGCAUCCCAAGCCUGGCAUUCCAUCUGUGCAGCUCUGCAUCUCCUUACCGUUCUGCCUGUCCAUCCCAAAAAGCACACAGAGAGGAGCUGCAUUCCAGGGGUGUGAGUUUAUCCCUUUAAAUCACUGUGUUUCUGGGAGUCUGCUGCAGUUAUCUAAAUCCUGAUGUUCAGAAAUUCACAUUAACCCCUUGCCAAGAGCUGAUCAAGUACUGCACAUCGGUCCGAUGCAUCAUUUGACCCAUGAUGCCCCCAAGAUCACACACCCUUCCACUCAGGGUCAUCCAGGCAUGCAUAAGGGAUAAGAGGCUUCAGCUUCAAUCAUAUAGCCUCUUUCUGUACAACUGGAUGCUCGUGUCAGUUUCAAAGAAAUCUGAAUAAUGCAGAGUUAGUUAAAACAUUAAGACGACAUUUUUUUCUUCUUUUUCUUCUUUUCAGUCUUAAAGCUAAAGUGUCAUUUGAUGUUUUAAACUACUAGAAUGUAUCCUUUUGUAGGCUGAUUCCCCUGAAACGUGUAAACACUGAGGUGCUAUCAAAACAUUGUUGUGUUUGUUCGAGAAUCCCUACCAGUCCGACAUAGCAACACUGGCUCAACCAGUGGUGGG